UACCAGCACCCCGAGUGGUCGGGACGAUUAUUGGGCCUAAAGCAUCCGUAGCCGGUCUUGCAAGUCUUCCGUUAAAUCCAGCUGCUUAACAGGUGGGCUGCGGAAGAUACUACAAGACUAGGAGGUGGGAGAGGCAAGCGGUACUCAGUGGGUAGGGGUAAAAUCCUCUGAUCCAUUGAAGACCACCAGUGGCGAAGGCGGCUUGCCAGAACGCGCUCGACGGUGAGGGAUGAAAGCUGGGGGAGCAAACCGG
rnacentral:rRNA from 1 species